rnacentral:rRNA from 1 species
GCAACUCGACUGCAUGAAGCUGGAAUCGCUAGUAAUCGCGAAUCAGAAUGUCGCGGUGAAUACGUUCCCGGGCCUUGUACACACCGCCCGUCACACCAUGGGAGUUGGAAGUACCCGAAGUCGGUGACCUGACCGAAAGGGAGGAGCCGCCGAAGGUGAAGCCAGCGACUGGGGUGAAGUCGUAACAAGGUAUC